UACGGAGGGGGCUAGCGUUGUUCGGAAUUACUGGGCGUAAAGCGCACGUAGGCGGCUUUGUAAGUUAGAGGUGAAAGCCCGGGGCUCAACUCCGGAAUUGCCUUUAAGACUGCAUCGCUAGAACGUCGGAGAGGUGAGUGGAAUUCCGAGUGUAGAGGUGAAAUUCGUAGAUAUUCGGAAGAACACCAGUGGCGAAGGCGACUCACUGGACGACCGUUGACGCUGAGGUGCGAAAGCGUGGGGAGCAAACAGG
rnacentral:rRNA from 1 species